CUGGAAGGGUGGAGGAUCGCUCCGAGCUUCGCUCGGGGAGGAAAGUCCGAACUCCAUAGGGCGCGAUGCCGCGUAACCCCGGUCGACAGGCCGGGGAUACACGCGGGGACCCGGGGUAAUAGCGGGUCACGGACAGUGCCACAGAGAAUAUACCGCCUCGGCGCUGGCAACAGCAUCGAGGUAAGGGUGAAAAGGCGGGGUAAGAGCCCACCGCCUUGGGUUAAACCCAAGGGCAUGGAAAACCCCAUCGGGAGCAAGGCCAAAUAGGGGACCUCGAGGCGGCUCGCCUCAAGUCCAGCCUAACCGCUGGACGGGUCUCGGGUAUCGGCUGCUGAGACAAAUGAUCCUCUCCUUCUCGGGGCUUCGGCCACGGGAGGCAGACAGAAUUCGGCUUACAACCCUUCCAGAAUC
rnacentral:RNase_P_RNA from 1 species